GCCUUGCCCAGGCUCCAAUUAGCAGACAAAUCGGAACUGGCUGGUGGGGCUGCGUGCCUGCUGCAGUUGUGUUUAUCAUUCAUCAGAGAAGAGAAGCGACCUGCCAGGCCGGCAAGUCAGGCCCUGUGGAGAGAAGAUUUAAGGUCGCCUAGACCAAGCCUUCUGCAACGUGGAUGGGGACUACACAAGGAGAAAGAACCAUGUAUUGGAGUGUGACUACCGCAGGCCACAUGCUGGGAGCUGGCCUGGAAGUCCAGAGAGGGCACCCGGUCCCGGUCCCAGUCCCAGCCGCUGGUCAUCAUCCUCUCAAACACAAAUAUCUAUUUGCCCCUGUGAUGUGCGGGAGCAGUGCAAGAGGUUCAUGGGAUCAGACUCUCCGGGUAGAGUCCAGGAGUCUCAAUGUUAAUCAGUGCACAAGUGGGUCUCGGCUCACUGUCAUGGAAAAACUGCUGCAUUUUGAGCAGGUAGGCAGCUUAAUCACCACCAUCGGGCUUGGAAAGGACUGGAUUUAGCACUUUCCUUAG